rnacentral:rRNA from 1 species
CCUACGGGAGGCAGCAGUGGGGAAUAUUGGACAAUGGGGGGAACCCUGAUCCAGCGACGCCGCGUGAGUGAAGAAGUAUUUCGGUAUGUAAAGCCCUAUCAGCAGGGAAGAAAGAAAUGAUGGUACAUGACUAAGAAGCGCCGGCUAACUACGUGCCAGCAGCCGCUGUAUUACGGGGGGGGCAAGCGUUAUCCGGAUUUACUGGGUGUAAAGGGAGCGUGGGCGGAGAUGCAAGUUUGAAGGGAAAGGCGGGGGCCCAACCCCCGGACUGCUUUGGAAACUGUAAGCCUAGAGUGCAGGAGAGGUAAGUGGAAUUCCUAGUGUAGCGGUGAAAUGCGUAGAUAUUAGGAAGAACACCAGUGGCGAAGGCAGCUUACUGGACUGUAACUGACGUUGAGGCUCGAAAGCGUGGGGAGCAAACAGGAUUAGAUACCCGAGUAGUC